rnacentral:rRNA from 1 species
UACGUAGGGGGCAAGCGUUAUCCGGAUUUACUGGGUGUAAAGGGAGCGUAGACGGCAAGGCAAGUCUGAUGUGAAAACCCAGGGCUUAACCCUAGGACUGCAUUGGAAACUGUCUGGCUCGAGUGCCGGAGAGGUAAGCGGAAUUCCUAGUGUAGCGGUGAAAUGCGUAGAUAUUAGGAAGAACACCAGUGGCGAAGGCGGCUUACUGGACGGUAACUGACGUUGAGGCUCGAAAGCGUGGGGAGCAAACAGG